CAGUGGCGAACGGGUGAGUAACACGUGAGCAAUCUGCCCUGACUCUGGGAUAAGCGCUGGAAACGGCGUCUAAUACCGGAUACGAGCUGCGAAGGCAUCUUCAGCAGCUGGAAAGAAUUUCGGUCAGGGAUGAGCUCGCGGCCUAUCAGCUUGUUGGUGAGGUAAUGGCUCACCAAGGCGUCGACGGGUAGCCGGCCUGAGAGGGUGACCGGCCACACUGGGACUGAGACACGGCCCAGACUCCUACGGGAGGCAGCAGUGGGGAAUAUUGCACAAUGGGCGAAAGCCUGAUGCAGCAACGCCGCGUGAGGGAUGACGGCCUUCGGGUUGUAAACCUCUUUUAGCAAGGAAGAAGCGAAAGUGACGGUACUUGCAGAAAAAGCGCCGGCUAACUACGUGCCAGCAGCCGCGGUAAUACGUAGGGCGCAAGCGUUAUCCGGAAUUAUUGGGCGUAAAGAGCUCGUAGGCGGUCUGUCGCGUCUGCUGUGAAAACCCGAGGCUCAACCUCGGGCCUGCAGUGGGUACGGGCAGACUAGAGUGCGGUAGGGGAGAUUGGAAUUCCUGGUGUAGCGGUGGAAUGCGCAGAUAUCAGGAGGAACACCGAUGGCGAAGGCAGAUCUCUGGGCCGUAACUGACGCUGAGGAGCGAAAGGGUGGGGAGCAAACAGGCUUAGAUACCCUGGUAGUCCACCCCGUAAACGUUGGGAACUAGUUGUGGGGUCCAUUCCACGGAUUCCGUGACGCAGCUAACGCAU
rnacentral:rRNA from 1 species